rnacentral:rRNA from 1 species
AGAGUUUGAUCCUGGCUCAGGACGAACGCUGGCGGCGUGCCUAAUACAUGCAAGUAGAACGCUGAAGAGAGGAGCUUGCUCUUCUUGGAUGAGUUGCGAACGGGUGAGUAACGCGUAGGUAACCUGCCUUGUAGCGGGGGAUAACUAUUGGAAACGAUAGCUAAUACCGCAUAACAAUGGAUGACACAUGUCAUUUAUUUGAAAGGGGCAAUUGCUCCACUACAAGAUGGACCUGCGUUGUAUUAGCUAGUAGGUGAGGUAAUGGCUCACCUAGGCGACGAUACAUAGCCGACCUGAGAGGGUGAUCGGCCACACUGGGACUGAGACACGGCCCAGACUCCUACGGGAGGCAGCAGUAGGGAAUCUUCGGCAAUGGGGGCAACCCUGACCGAGCAACGCCGCGUGAGUGAAGAAGGUUUUCGGAUCGUAAAGCUCUGUUGUAAGUCAAGAACGGGUGUGAGAGUGGAAAGUUCACACUGUGACGGUAGCUUACCAGAAAGGGACGGCUAACUACGUGCCAGCAGCCGCGGUAAUACGUAGGUCCCGAGCGUUGUCCGGAUUUAUUGGGCGUAAAGCGAGCGCAGGCGGUUUGAUAAGUCUGAAGUUAAAGGCUGUGGCUCAACCAUAGUUCGCUUUGGAAACUGUCAAACUUGAGUGCAGAAGGGGAGAGUGGAAUUCCAUGUGUAGCGGUGAAAUGCGUAGAUAUAUGGAGGAACACCGGUGGCGAAAGCGGCUCUCUGGUCUGUAACUGACGCUGAGGCUCGAAAGCGUGGGGAGCGAACAGGAUUAGAUACCCUGGUAGUCCACGCCGUAAACGAUGAGUGCUAGGUGUUGGAUCCUUUCCGGGAUUCAGUGCCGCAGCUAACGCAUUAAGCACUCCGCCUGGGGAGUACGACCGCAAGGUUGAAACUCAAAGGAAUUGACGGGGGCCCGCACAAGCGGUGGAGCAUGUGGUUUAAUUCGAAGCAACGCGAAGAACCUUACCAGGUCUUGACAUCCCGAUGCUAUUUCUAGAGAUAGAAAGUUACUUCGGUACAUCGGUGACAGGUGGUGCAUGGUUGUCGUCAGCUCGUGUCGUGAGAUGUUGGGUUAAGUCCCGCAACGAGCGCAACCCCUAUUGUUAGUUGCCAUCAUUCAGUUGGGCACUCUAGCGAGACUGCCGGUAAUAAACCGGAGGAAGGUGGGGAUGACGUCAAAUCAUCAUGCCCCUUAUGACCUGGGCUACACACGUGCUACAAUGGUUGGUACAACGGGUUGCGAGUCGGUGACGGCGAGCUAAUCUCUUAAAGCCAAUCUCAGUUCGGAUUGUAGGCUGCAACUCGCCUACAUGAAGUCGGAAUCGCUAGUAAUCGCGGAUCAGCACGCCGCGGUGAAUACGUUCCCGGGCCUUGUACACACCGCCCGUCACACCACGAGAGUUUGUAACACCCGAAGUCGGUGAGGUAGCCUUUUGGAGCCAGCCGCCUAAGGUGGGACAGAUGAUUGGGGUGAAGUCGUAACAAGGUA